GAACCAGUUAUGUUUUAACAUGUAAACCAUGUGUACAGGUGUUUGGUUGUUCAUAUGCGCAAACCGAACCAAGCAUAUCGCGCUAAUAACAUUAUUUGAAAAAAACGACAACAUUAUUAUACCAAUUGAUAAACGUUAUCUUGGUUUUAAAAUAAUAAAAUUUUACACGUCAAUCAUUUAUUCGAAAAAAAUCUAACUACCACCAUAUUGACAGUGUAAACUCUUUGUGUUGAUUGAUAUUCGGGAAAAAGUUUGAAGUUUGCACGAAAAAAAAAUGGGGCCGGGUGAAGAGAAAACGAUCAGUAUGAAAUGUAUUAAAUAUUUAUUGUGUUUAUCAAAUUUUGCAUUUGUGAUUACAGCAUUAUUAAUAAUAUCGGUUGGUACUACAAUUUUUACAAUCUACAAUGAUUACCAAACAUUUUACGAUGUGGGAUAUUUUUCACCAGCCGUAUAUUUAAUUGGAAUUGGAUUUAUCUUAUUAAUUGUAUCACUUUUUGGAUUUAUGGGCGCACUUAAAGAGAGCACAUGCAUGAUGACAACGUUUUCAUUGUUGUUAACUGGAAUUCUUAUAUUCGAAUUAGCAGUUGCCAUUGCUGCGUAUGUAACUCCUAAUAUGGAUGAAUAUAUCUCUAAAGCUUUAUGGGAAUCUAUAGAGCAUUAUCAUGAGAGCGGUGAUGAUGCAAAAGCAGUGGAUUUACUUCAUGAAACAUUCAACUGUUGUGGAGUUGAUAGCUACAGAGAUUGGGAAAAUACUACACAACAUUCUUGGCCUCAAUCAUGUUGUUACAGAUACAUUAUGGAAGGUGAAAAUCCAACAUGUGGACUUAGAGAUAUACCCAGUCGUACCGAUGGAUGCUUAGAAAAAUUGAAAUUUGCUGCAUAUCAAAGUAGAUAUUUAAUUGCUAGUAUGGCGUUAUCUGUUGCUUUUGUUCAGGCCUUAGGAAUAUGUUUCUCAUGGUUACUUGGACGAUCGAUUCGAAAAGCAAAAACUGAACGAGAAAUUCGUCGUAUUGCAUUCAGAACUCAAUUUGUUAAUCCCAGUAAUUAUACGUAUUCAUUACCAGAUAAUGCAAAAACUACUGUUUUGUACACUCCAACCAGUAGUGAUGCUUAAAUUUUUGUAGAAUUAGUGAAUACAAGUAUGAUUGUUUGGCUAGAAGGUCCAAGGUAAUUUAGUUAAAUUUUAACCUUAUAAAAAUAUAUAUAUAUAACUUUAUUUUAGCAUAUGUAGGUGUUUUGACUUUUUCGAUCAUUAUUUUCGGAACAAUAGAUAUGUUUCUUUUAAUUUUUUGCCAUAAAGUCCAUGUUAAUUAGAAAAGCCUUAAAAAUCGAAAGAAACUCUAUUUGAUUAAAUAUAUAAAAGUUGUGUAAGACCAUCAACAAAUCAAAAUAUGAUUUCCAGAUUUUAUUUUUUAAAAUUAUAGACCUUAUACACGCAUGGAAAAGGAGUAGCUGAAAACACUAAAAAACAUAGAUAUAUAACCUGUACUGAAAAACAUGGCUAAUCCUUUCCAUUUAUGUUGAUAUAUGUGUCCUAACAUUCAGUCCAAAACUUCAAUAAUGUAUUUUUGAGAUAUUAUCU